CGUAACACGUAUGCAACCUACCUUUAACUGAGGGAUAGCCCAAAGAAAUUUGGAUUAAUACCUCAUAAUAUUACGAGAUCACAUGGUCAUGUAAUUAAAACUCCGGUGGUUAAAGAUGGGCAUGCGCAACAUUAGCUAGUUGGUGAGGUAACGGCUCACCAAGACUUCGAUGUCUAGGGGUUCUGAGAGGAUUAUCCCCCACACUGGUACUGAGACACGGACCAGACUCC
rnacentral:rRNA from 1 species